rnacentral:lncRNA from 1 species
AAUGCGUGAAGCGAUUCACGUUUAAUGUCUUCAAUUGGCUCAAAACGGUUUCCCCGGAGCGACCGUCGAGUGUGCUGAAUCGCCAGAAGUCACACGUCGCCAAAAUCUGGCAAAUACACUGCGUGCGGCACGAUAUUGUUUCAAUUUUUGGCGGAAACUCACGAGGAAUCAAUGCAGUAUGCGGCGGUGCCUUCCUUUGUUGCUAAAACCAAGAGCUGCCCGUCCAUAAUUCCGGUCGGCCGGUCGUAAGGAAUUCGGAGUGCACCGCCCCUCCAUCCAUAAUCGAAGCAAACUGCCAACAAAACCAUGAUUUUUGACCUGCUUGGUUUUUUGGGCUGCGGCUCAGCUUGCCUCAAUAUUCAGCCGAUUUAUCAUCUGUUUCCGGGUCGUAAGCAUUGAUCCAAGACGCAACGCCAGCAAUAAUACGUUUCAUGUCAGCCUGGCAGUCGGAAGGCAUUGUUUCAUCACCGUUAACGCAGCGCUGUUUCUCGAAAAAAUUGACCUCCGUGAGCACAAUUUUGCUGGAACGGCUGGAACGACCGAGCGAACGCACCUAAUUCUGGGAGAUUAUUUCACACUAUGGUACUACGAACCGAUAAAAAAGAGAGAGUGCUAUUUUUUUUGAAGGUGCAGCAGACGGGCAUUAAAGGGAGCGAAGAGCGGGC